rnacentral:tRNA from 1 species
GGGCAUUUAGUUUAGAGGUAUGAUUCUCGCUUUGGGUGCAAGAGGUCCUGAGUUCGAUUUUCGAAAUGCCCC